rnacentral:rRNA from 8 species
CAACUGUGUGAAUUAAUGCAAACUGCAUACUGCUUUGAACAUCGACAUCUUGAACGCAUAUUGCGGCCAUGGGUUAGCCUGUGGCCACGCCUGUCCGAGGGUCGGCUUAUAAACUAUCACGACGCCCAAAAAGUCGUGGCUUGGGUUUUGCCAGCUGGCGUGAUCUCCUCUAUGAGUAAUCAUGUGAGGUGCCAGAUCUAUGGCGUUUCCCUAAUGUAUCCGGAUGCACCCUUGUCUUGGCAGAAAGCCGUGGUGAGGUGCAGUGGCGGAAUCGUGGUUUAAUAAUCGGGUUGGUACUCAGUUGUCAGUGUGUUCGGCGAUCCCCCAGUCGGCACACUCAUGAUUUCUGGGAUAAUUCCAUACCAGGCACGUUCCGUUACUGUUACUUUGUCAUUGGUUUGAUGCUGAACUUGGUCAUGUGUCUGAUGCUAUUUCAUAUAACGACGGUACCCUUCGUGGUCUGUCUUCCUGACCUCGGUUCAGACGUGAUUACCCGCUGAACUUAAGCAUAUCACUAA